UUGCAGCUAUUUUUCAGCUCCUAUGAACAAUGCUGUGCCGAGACCAGCUCAGCCUCAGAGACCGCAACUCAUGCGGCAGUGAAGGAAUUAAGAAACAGACACCGACAUAGCAAAAGGUUCAAGCAAUUCUCCUGCCUCAGCCUCCUGAGCAUCUGGGAAUUCAUCAGCCAAGCUGGUCUCAAACUCCUGACCUCAAGUGAUCCGCCCAUCUCGGCCUUUCAGAGUGCUGGGACUCCAGGCAUGAGCCAAUUCUCCAACCUUCCCAUGGAGUCACACCACCUCCUGUCUUGGCACUUCAUGAGUCCAGUGGUCUUUCCCAAGAGGAUCUGGUUGGCAGACCGUGACCUUGGUUCCUGCUUCUAUCCGUAGGUUUAUUCUUAGCAGCCACCACCUUUUUGGUACUAGAACAGUGCGUUUUUUAUAGUGCGUUCAUCGGUGGAUGCUGAGACCACAACCCGGUCAUUUGGAUGUUCAACUAAUGCUUUAUGACGCAGUCCCUGCAACUCACCAACCCGUGCCAGAACUCACUGGAGCUCAGGUUUUGUUUUGUGAGACAAGCUCUUACUCCAUCAUGCAGCCAGAAGUGUAGUCAUGGUUCACUGCAGCCUUGACCACCCAUAUUCAAGCCAUCUUUCCUCAGCCUCCCAAAGUGCUAGGAAUACAAGUGUGGCCUACAUUUGAGCUUUGAGUUCAUUAUGUAUUCUAGA